CUAGUAUAAUGGUGAAAGGUCAAUUGCAGCAAUUGUUGUUAGGGUCAAGGAUCUCAAGGGCUUAGGCUUCUCAGAAUUGAAUAUCUGGGUCACUCCAUAAUGCAAGCAAUCAAGACCAGAUGAAAUGCUACUUGAAGGGGAGACAUAUCUAGAAUAGAGGUGGAGAAAUAUCUUUGCUUGAAAGUUUGCUGAAGAAACACCACGCAUAUUUGAUGUCAUGGGGAAAGAAUUGAGCAGAACCAUAUACCCAUCUUCUAUUGCAAUUACUGCAGAGGAGGAGAGAUGGAGAAGUAAAAAUGAAACAUUUCAAGGAUGAAUGGGCACUGAAAAUUGGUAAAGUGGCAGGAAAGUCCAAGUUUGAAGAAUGAAAAAGUAAAUGUAUGUAGAAAAAGUAGUUUGGAAAACAGGGAAAAAAUUGAUAUUUUGCAGAAACAUCUGUUUGCUGCUGCUGAAAAUGUUAGCAUUUAAAUGUUCUCAUUUGGGCUCCAAAGUUAGCACUUUCCUGAAGUAGUUCACACCUUUGCUAUUGCUCCUGUUCAGCUACAGAUCAUUUUAUGCAAGGCUGAUUUUAACAAGAAAAUGGUGCAUUAAUUUA